rnacentral:rRNA from 1 species
UACGGAGGGUGCAAGCGUUAUCCGGAUUCACUGGGUUUAAAGGGUGCGUAGGUGGGUUGGUAAGUCAGUGGUGUAAUCUCCAGGCUUAACUUGGAAACUGCCAUUGAUACUAUCAAUCUUGAAUACCGUGGAGGUCAGCGGAAUAUGUCAUGUAGCGGUGAAAUGCUUAGAUAUGACAUAGAACACCAAUUGCGAAGGCAGCUGGCUACACGAAUAUUGACACUGAUGCACGAAAGCGUGGGGAUCAAACAGG